AAAGACUUUGUUUAAAUUUUGAUUUUUAUCCCCAAAGGAGUUUUUUUUUUUUUCUUUAUGCAAAAGCAAAAGCAAGUCCAGGAAUGGGAACAAACGCCAUGGAAUGAGAAUCCGUCUCAGGGAUGCUCAUUAUUUACACUCCUCAAAAUUCAGCAUUUGGGAACUUAAUACAAGAUCACUGUGCUACACUGUGUUACCCCAUCUCAGUGUCUUCUCAUACAUAGCACUUAAAAGUCCCAGCCAGAGACCCAUACAGCAAUAUUUUCCCCCAUGUAAUGGUUUCCUGCGCGUCGAGCUCCCCUCCCGGAAAACAUUAUAAAGAACUUCCACAGUGAGAGACGCCGCUGACUCCUCCGAGCUCAGGAGCAUCGCUCAGACAUACCCAUGUGAAACGCCUCUUCCUGCAGUGGUCUUUCCAUAGCUUAUGAAUAGCGUCCCCUCCAAAACAUUUGAAAAGGAAAAUGAAGUGUGAAGUUCCUGCCUACGAGCCAUGUAUUUUAAACAACAUCCAGCUGAAGGUAUUUUUUCAGCUUUGUUUCACAAGGAAUUUAGCAGAUGAGGAAAAAACAGCCCCCUUUCUUUCUGUAAGUUACCGUGUUACUUUCCCAACGCUGCCGUGUGCCCUCUCCCUUCUCACGUGCAGACCCCGGGCAUUCUGCUUCGGGCCCGUCCUAGCCUGAUCUGCUGCACUGUGACUUGAGGACAUCUGCGAAGACCCUGCUUCCAAAACUGUCACGUUCACACGUGCUGGGAGUUAGGACUUGAACUAACUUCUGGGGAGACACGAUUCAGACAGCUGCAGAUGCGGGGGAGCUAAACAUCCCUCCACGUUACUUGGGGCCUGAGAAUAAGCUGCAGGCACUUCAAAGUCAUUGCUGAUACCAGAACUGACUUUUUCCUAGGAGAAAACUUGGCCGGUAGUCAGGUUUGGGGCUAAUAACCGACUUAGGUGUGCUUACUGCUUCUGGCUGGCAUUUAUGAAGCUACUGGUCGACAUUUUAUUUUUAUUUUUUAAACUUUUUAUCUUUUUGUCUUUUUAGGGCCUCCCCCAUGGCAUAUGGAGGUUCUCAGGCUAGGGAAUUGAUCGCAGGGGGGCAUGAGAGAAUUUCCCAGGAGGAUGGAGGUGUAUCUUGUUGGGGUGAUGGUUUCACAGGUGUAGACGUGUGUCCAAAGCGUCGGAGGUGAGGAGAACAACGCCAGGUCUGCCUCCUUCUGCUCAGUGAGCGCCAAAUCCAGGAAACUCCGUCCUCGUCCGGGUUCCUCUAGAGUGUCACACGGACUGCAUAUAACCCCGGCGUCCAGGGGUCCUGCUGUUUCCUCUCUUUCGUAGACACUGUUCACCGUCUAAUCGUCUUCCAUCGUGAAGAAGCCUCUUCCAGGAAGCACACGUGGUAGCUGGUACUGCAGGGUUCUGAAAGUGUCCGUGUCUCGGACUUUUUCUCAAGUAAGAGUCCAUGAGUGGGAACCAUCUGGCUUAUUUCUUAGCAAGGAAGUACUGGAGGGGUUAUUACAGUGAAAGUUCCUUCCUGGGAAAGUAACUUUUUCCCUAAAUAAUGUAGAGAAUUGGAGACAUUUAUAAAUUUUUAGAAGUAUGAUUUCAAAGAGUGCUUUUGGCACUUUAUUUUUCUUUCAAUUGCUUUGGCCGUGCUUAAGCAAACAUUUGAAGAUCGCUAGGAAAGGCAGCAUGCCAUAGUUAUUUAAAAGUUGAUUUUAUUGCAUUUUCUCCUAAUCAUCUUGAGUUGAUGAUUUCAUAUUUAAUUUGGGAAAAAUCCUGGCUUAUCCGAGUUUAAACAAUGUCUAGGCAUUUUCAUAUUAAUGUUUUCUUAUUAUUCACUUCGUGGACCUUAAUACUGAUUUUAAAACUCAGGCACACAUUCGCACAUGUAUGGCUGGAAAAUAUUCAAUAGUAACACUGUGGCCGUUUUGUUUGGAAAACUGUUUUUACUUAAAAGUCACAUGUUGAGUUCUGUUUGGAAAACGUCAAAGUUUCAUAUGAAAAAUGCAAUCUGUACUGAGAAGGGAACAGGUGAGUGAGCUUUGAAGUGCAUUUGAAUAUAGAAGCAGUCCUUGAGGGGCGCUGAGUUGAGGAUCGCAGAGGAAACGGCACGUGUGAUAGGAAGGGAAGCUCUGAGUAGCUCACAUUCAUGCCCCUCCUUGCAAGUUCUGAGACCAGCUGCCCCGUUUGGGGGAGGCGUCCGGUUUGACAUAGGAAGUGGCACGUGUCCGCCUUCGGGGACUAACUUCUGAGCACAGCACGCCGGGUCCUGAGUGUUGCUUCUCUCCACGGCUUCCCAGCGGUCCCAUCCCUUGGUGAGCCCUGUAUCUUCUAAACUCCCUCAGCCUGUGCCGAAUACAGCUCUUGUGUAACAUGAAUGGGCUACUUUGUUCUGUGUUGGUGACAAGCCUUGUGACCUUUGGAAAGCAGAGAUUGUGCCUUUUCACGCUGGUGCCCCUAGAGCCUAGGACAGCGCUGACACAGAGCAGGUCCUCCUCGGUGACGAUGAGAUGGUCUCAGCAGUCGUCCCCUCGCCACCUCUCCCCCCACCACUGCAGCAUCUCACAUCUACCACACUGCAGGGCAACGGGCCACCUGCUGCUUGGGAGAGUUCUCCUCUAGGCUGUGAGAUUCUCGGAGGCUGGGAUGAUAUCUUAUUCACUUCCUUGCUCUCGGGGUCUGGCACCUCAUAAGAAUCUAAGAAGUAAUUGUUGGAUAGAAGUGUGAAGGAGGGAACUGAAGCAGGAGGCGUGGCUUUUAGCCCUUCACCACAAUUUGUUCAGGAACAUUGAGGAAAUAGCCCGGCGUCUCCGUCCAGUCUGUGUUCGUACCUGAUUUGAUCAUCAGAGACCCUCCUAGGUUUAGAAUGCUGAGUUGAUGAUCUUGGUGCUCGCUUGAUAGAAAGGUGCUUUAGUGCAAAUUCCGAGUCAGCAAGCUAGGUUCUGUAAGCGCUCAGCAGUUGGUUUUCUCCUGCGUCCGAACCUCUCAUCACCUGGAACUCUGUGGACCCCAGAGACCGGCUUGCCGAAGAGCGGGAGGAUGUCCUUAUAAACAGCUCCCCGUCAGGAAAAGCCUGGAGACCCCAGUCCCUGGAGAACAGGUGUGAGAAGUUCACACCAAUAGUUCAACAAAUGAGGCAACCAUUUAGACUUUUAGCCAAGGGCUGAUUUUCUAAGCAGCCUUAGCCUUCCACUGCCUGCUCAGUCAGAGCAUCAGUUGGCCUGAGGAUUUCUCGGAAGCAGUGGGUCCAGACACCUUGCCUGUCCUGCAUCCAUUUGUUGAGCUCUCUGUACCCACACUAUUAGAACUCACCGCAUUCUCCGAACAGCCGCAUAUCACAGACAAGGAAACUAAGGCAAAGAGAGCCAGGGUUAUGCAGCUAGUGAAUGGUAAAGGCAAGGUUCAGAUCCUCACUAUCUGAUCCCAAAAGGAUAGUCAAACAGCGAAGUUUUACAGGAACCUUGCUUUCGCAGGGCUGGGCAUGGGCGUGUUGGAAACGAAUGGUUGAAGACAACAAGGGUUGACACCUUCAAGCCCAAACAGCUUGGCCUGUGUGCGCAGCCUUAGGGGUGAUUCCCAGGCAGUGCACACUGUCUGGAAAGCCAGCGCCCCGCCCCCCGCAGCGACCAGCGCCGGGACACAGAGCCGUCACCCGAUCUCCUCCAGGCCUGUGGGGCCCGCGAGCGGACUCCGUCCCGCAGCCCGUGGAGGCAGGUGGGCCUUGUUAGGAGUUACUGAGCCAAUCAAGGGCUCAAAGGCAAAGGCCUUUCCUUCCAGACAGGAGAGGGGGGGUGUAUCAGGUAGCUCUUCGGAGAGUUUUUAUGCUGCUGCCUUCCAUUUUCCCCGGAUUCUGUAACCCUAAUGAUUUGGGACCAAGGACAAGAGUAAUGCUGUUUCAUGCUCUUACUCAUAUUUCCUUCAGUCAUUGUCUUCCCAUCCUCAUGUUUAAUAACUGUAAGUGAGACGGACACACACACAGAGCCCCUUCUUUGACAUGGGGGCUGUCUUCAGGGUGCUGGCAAGUGUUUCUGCUCAUCUUGCUGGAAUCAGUGUUCUGGCCAGAGUGUCUGAGUCUCGCAGCAAAACACAUUAUUUAUAAGAGAAUCACAGUUCUUAUGUUGGCUUAUGUUCCCAAACUAUUUGCAGCAAUUUCUGAGUGGGAUAUGCCUGGCUCUUGACUUGGAAGGGUAAAAAGGCCCAUGCAUUUCUCUUAAUGAAUUCAAUCAGUCCUGGAAACAGGCAGAUUUCCCAGGGUUUCAUUAAUUCACGUUGGUUUCUGACGGACAGUAGGUUCUUCUAGUCAUUAAAAAGGAUACUCUUGGCAUGGAAACCAGAUCCUCAUGAGGGAGUGAAUCCCUCCUGCGACAACCAAACAACUGCUGUCCUGCUUGUGACAACAGCCACAGGGGCUGCGAACUCGUGUUCAACAAAAGGGUUUUCUCCCUUUUGGGGGCAACUCUCAUUUUUAGAAUGUUCUUUUUGUAUUGAGCUGAGACUGCGUCCCUUAGACUUCGCUUUCCCGGAGAGUCUUUCUGGCCCUUCUCUGUCGGCUCCUCCUCCUUCGCACCAACCCUGUACGUCUUGGUGUUUCUCAGAAAGCAGUAAACUUUCCUUAUCACCCACCAUCCUUGGACAAUCUACGGUUUCUGAGUUCAUCUUCUAGUGAUGAGCAUAUGGAAGCCCAGCCUCCGUGUGGGGCUUCAGGUCGUAUCUACCUGGCUACCUCACAGGGGCCACAUACCCAGUUUAUCCCCCCCUUAUUUUUCUCUUCCUUAGACUUUGGAAGUUGGUGCAUGAUGCUGCUGUCUACUCAGAUUCCUAAGAAGCCGAGGGAAUUGUGUUAGGUUCCUCCCUCGCACAGUCCUUCAAGCACCGAGCCCUCUGGUAUUGCUGUGUUAAAACGCCACGUGCCUCCCUUCCUCCCCAGCCCCGCCACCAAAGGCCCUCACUGUUUCUUGACUGAUAAUUGUGAAAACUUAUAAAAUUAUAUUGUCUCCUUGCUUCCAGAUUCACCCCUUUCAAUCUCUCCGUCUCCAGAGUGAACCACUAAUAUUUAAGCUUAACACCAUCUGCUAAAAAUUCCUACAUGAUUUCAUCUUGCGACAAGAUAAUCCUAAGUGCAUUUGGAUAACAUUCCCAAUGCUAUAGACACACCCAUUAGGAGGGCUAUUUAUAAUACACAAACAACUCCCACGACUCAAUGAACAAGCAGCCCUGUUUCAAAAAUGGGCCGUGAUUCGAGGAGACAUUUGUUCCAGAAACUUAUACACAGCAGUGUGGGCAUGUAAACGGUGCCACCGCUGCGGGAAACUGUGUAGCACCUCAAAAAAUUAGAAGUGAAAUUACUGUAUGAUCCUGCAACCCCCCUUCUGGGAUGUACCCCAAGGAGCGGAAAGCGGGGAUCUACAUGGAUGUUUGGAUAACAUUUUAUAACGGCAGCAUUCACAACAGGCAAAUGGUGGAAGCAACCGUGUCCAUCAGUGGGUAAGUGUGAUGAGCGGAUACCACAUACAGUUAGUUAACCUUCAAAAGAAAGGAAAUGCCAACUCAUGCUACAGCACUGAUGAAUCAUGAAGACAUAACGCUAAGGGAAAUAAGCCAAUCGGAAAAAACAAAUGCUGCAUGAUAUGAGUUAGACCCGGUACUUAGAGUAGGUGAAGGCACAGACACAGAGUAGGUGGUGGUUGAAGGUGCUGUUGGGGGAGAUGGAGACAGCGUUUAAGGAGUAAAGAGCUUCAGCUUGGAAGGGAGAACAGUUCAAGGCUGGAUGGUGGUGCUUGUUUUACCAUGUGAAUGUACUUAAAGCUACUGCACACUUAAAAAUACUUGAAAUGGUCACUUAUAUUUCACUGUAAUUGAAAAAAAGAAAGAUCCUGUAGGACCUGAUUCUUAGCUGUCUUUUCUUGUUUGUCAACACAGGCUCUGGCAACCCUGAGCAACUCAAAACAUACUUGGCUCUCCCAAGAGCCAGUGAUUUCCUGCGUGCGGCCUCGUGGUCUCUUACUCUCUCUAGUCACUGCUCAAGUAUAGGGUGACUGACUGUCAGCCUGUUUUAUCUGGGACCCAGGGGGGUCCCAGAAUCCAGGAGUCUCAGUGCUCAAGCUGGGCAAGUCUCAGGCAUUGGGACAGGUUGGUCACCCUAACUUUAUAUCAUUUCCCAACCGAAACCCCAGCAUCUUAUUACUUCCAAGUUUGAUCAGCAUCCUGUGUCCCCAGUGUCUUCAUUUAAGAACUUGAAAGCUUUGACCUGGAAAGAGCCGACGUCAGAGCUCCGUGAUGCGCUAGAAGGUAUUUGUGCAGGUUCAUUUCUACUUCGUAAUUAACAUGCCUUGAAUAGUUACCUAUUCUUUGGCUUAUGUUAUCAUCUAAAACAUAUUUCUCUCUUUUUUCAUUAGAGCAUCGUUAAAAUCUAGCUAAGACCCAGAUUCACUGAAGCAAAAUGCAAUCCUUUGAUCCACCAGCUUUGCCAACCUGUCCAAAAAUGAAAUUAGUCUGUCAAACUUGUUCUUUGUGAACUCAUGUCGGCUUCACAUUAGUCAGAGCUUGUGUGCGCGUAUAUGCGCGUGUGCGUGUGCACACCUGUGCAUGAGCCGUUCUUUCAAUUAACCCCUCUAGAGCCUUACCUUGGGUCAACAUUGAUUCACUUAUAGAGGAAUAAUCUCCUCUACUACGUACCCCCAUUGCCGUAUAUUUCCUAAGUUUUCAAAAACAUAGAAGCCAUUGAAGGGAAUGAAAUAUUUUCUCCUCCUGACCGUGUAAGAUUCAGAAGCCAGUCUUAAGCAGUGUCUAUGCUGAUGAAAUAUGUCUCUCAUAGCGCAGACGUGGGCUCUGCCUGCGAAUUCCUGGUGACCUGGCUCAGUCCGAGGCAAACACAACAUCUAGGAUGAAUAGGAAGGAGUGUUUCACAUGUAAGCUAGCUAUGUGAAUACGCAGUCGUUUAUAGGGCUGUAAAUACAGUCUGAUUGGUGCCAAGUCAUCGACGUUAAAGCAGUGAUGGUUACCAUUUGGGGAGGUUUGGAGGCAGAUGCAUCUCAGUUUAAACUGACAGCUUAAGUAAUUGCCAUCAUUUGUUUUGUUUUAUUUCCAAAUAAAACCAGAACUGUUUCUGGUUGCCCUGGGCUUGCACCAUGCAUCUGGGGAAGGGAGCUUUCCCCCUUUGUCAGAGGACCGCUUAUCUCCUGCUUACAAUGUAAGCUGCAUAAGGGUUGCUGAUAAGAAGAAAAUGUCAAACACGAGGAAGAAGAAGUGUUUAUACCGGGAGCCCUACCCAAUAUUCUGUGAUCGUCUACACAGGAAAGAAUCUGAAAAAGAGUGGAUGUCUGUCUAUAGCUGAAUCACUCUGCUGUACAGCAAACAUCAUCACAGCAUCGUAAAUCAGCUCUGCCUCAGGGAGACAUUAAACAAUAGGAACAAGUAGUUAAUGCACAAGAUAAAUUCCUGGAAUUGAAAUCUUCAGCGGCUCGAUAUGUUCAAUUCCAGAACGUCCGCCCUGUUUCUGUUUUGUGGCACAACGGCUAUACUCAGUCUCCUGUCGUGACACGUCUGUUACGUCUUAGAGUAAAAUGCCCAUCGACCGGUAAACACGAGUCAUUGUUUAGUAGUCGUAAUGAUGGUAACACGUUACCACUAGUGUUAUCAGUCUCCCGACCCGAAGGACCUGCAACCCCGACGUAACUCUGCCACUCCCUGGCACUGUGCCUGCGGCUUUGGCGUCAGGUUUGUUUCAUGAUUUGUAAAAUUCGGAUGAACAGCUCCUGGACGGCGGACCUCUCGGGAUGUUUGGGAGGCAGUGGUUUUUAUCGAGCCUGUGCUACAUGCCAGAGGCUAUUUGGCACCUUUCGUGGAUUAUUUCGUUUCAUCCUCACAGCACCUCAGGAGCAUGAACAGUAGUAUUCCCCUGGUUUUGCAAAUGGGAAGCCGAAGCUGAGCGAGGUGAAAUAAUGUACCUGAGAUCCCACGGCCUCUACGUGGCAAAGCUAGGAGGUGAUUCCGUGCCAGGCUAAGGCAACUGUACCUGAGACAUAAACACGCGGGCUCCCUUGCGAACGAGCCGUAGGCCUGUCUUCGGAAAUGCAGACGCGUGGAAGGAGCUCGGAUUCUCUCACCCGGAGGAGGAGGAGGGAGGCUUUGCACAUUCCUGUGGUUUUUCCUGAAAGAAAGCCUGUGCUCGCACUCAUUUCUUGGGCCAAAAGUAGCAGUUGGCAGAAUAUCUCGCAGAUACCAGGUCUGUGUGAGACGAAACCCAUCACGCGUGAUGCCCGCAGAUGGGCCUGGAACCGCCGUGUGUUUAGGCGUGCGCGCCGCCCAAGGGCCACGCUUGUUGGUGAUGCUCCAGCGCUCCUCGGCCUCCACAAAGCGGGGCCAGUCCUUCAGGCAGCCUGGGCCGGGCUCAGAAAGCCGGCCUUUCACAUGCCUGCAUUUAGGACAUGCUGCUGAGGGGUUCACCGCAGCUGCUGUGGUCCAACACGGUUUCUUUCGCAUUUCAUUCAAACCAAGAGAUUUUUAGGAAGCACACCCUCUCUCCUAGAAUUAGUUGGUUAUCCUCGAAGACAUAGUCUAAUUCUUUCCAUUUCUUGUAUUUCCUAAGUAUUUUCUAUCCACACAUAGUAUUUCUUUAACCAAAGUAAUACUCCAUACUUUGGGGUUGGCACUCAUGGAAUUCCAAAUACUUUCCUCUGGAGUAUAUGUUGUUCUGGUCCCAGGUACAGAUGGUUUGUUCUACACACUGGAAAUAGUGGCGAUGGGGUGGGGAAAUAUUUAAAACUCAAUUUUCCCUGAGAAGAAAAGGAGCAGUUGUAGCAGCGGCAGAUACUGUCCUAACUCCCGAAUUUGAGACAGUUGAAAAAUCAGUGUGUUUUUACGUUCAGUUUAACUCAACAUUAACGAAAAUUCUUCCAUUAAUUUAAAUAGCUGUUAUAACUGUUUUGGAGUUCUUAAAAACAACCAAAAUUUCCUCUGAGAAAUAAUGGUUUGUAUGUGAUCCAACUAAUGCCUUCCAGUCCAUUUAUUCCUAAAUUUAAAAUGUGGAAAUAAGAGCUGACUAGAUAGACUUAAAUAAAGAGCAGC
rnacentral:lncRNA from 1 species